rfam:Domibacillus antri strain XD80 WGS_contig_14, whole genome shotgun sequence.
AGAACCUUUAAAGAACAGUCCCGAGAGGCUGGGAAGGGAUCGGAUGAAAUGCGGGAUGCGUAUGCCUGCAUGUAAAGGAAUCAGUAUGCCUUCUCACCAAAACGGGUGAGGAGGCUUUUUUCAU